rnacentral:lncRNA from 10 species
GGGCCCGGCCCUACCCUCACCGGCGGAGUGACCUUGGACCCUUCACAGGUCUGCCUCCAGUUCUUUUCUCUCUCAAAAGGCAUUGGGAAGUGAGUUGUUGUCAACGACCUCCAGGGCAUCUCCCAGCUUUAGCAGGCUUGGGGGCACCAGCCAGUGGUGACUCUAAAGCUUCCUCCUAAGCCCCUGGCUAUUGCUUGUAACUGGGGACUAGUGCCCGUAAAGGGUGGGGUUCGAGACAACCCCCUACUCAGCAUCUGGGAAUAAAAGGGCUGACUGCUGAAAACUGACAUCCCCAAGGAGUUGAUGUGAUCCAUUGAGCUUGCAGAGAUGACCUUCUGGAAAGCCCUUGAUCCUUUCCACAAUGUGAAUAUUUCCUGCGGUGGCUAGCCAAGAGUCUUCCGCCAGUCAAAAUGAAGCGCAAGAUGACCACGUUUUUUAGUAAGUGAAAGGUCUUUGAAAGUGGAUUCCAGGUCUCCAGUGAACUUGGAGACAGGCUGCCAUCUAAUUGUAUUUUUAAAAAUCAAAUUCUGAGAGCAAUAAGAUCAGGAAAAGGCACAAAAAUGGGUGCAGUCAUUGUCAACUUCACCAACCGAUUUAGAUCUGUAUUGAUGGAAUUUGAUGAUUCUUAUCAAAAUAGACCUAUAAAUAUAAUCAGAAGUUAUUUUGCAUCCAAGAAACUUAUCUAAUUUAACCAGAUUCCCAAUUUAAGUCCUUGGAAGAACUGGCCACAGGCAUAAAAGAAUGCAAUUGAAAUGCCAUGAAUACUCAAGAAUUUGUUUUUUUUUUUUCAUAUUUAUCACUGUUGUUUCAUAACAAUAUAUUUCUUUUAGCUGACACAUGUGUUUAGAAGUAUGCAUCUCAGAAAAGAACUCAUAUUUUUAAAAUAAUAAUAUCCGGUGGUAGUAAGAACACAAAAUGAGCCCCAGAUACUUCUGGUGAGAACUGGAAUGGCCUUUCUGCUACUUGGCAAUAAUGUAUCAAAAGCCUUAAAAAUAUGCAUCACCUUUAACCCAGAAAUCCCACUUCUUGAAAUGUAUUCUGAUAAAAUCAUCAGCAAGGCACAGGAAGAUAUACACUUUCGUGCAUCAUUCUGUAUGAUAUCAUCAUAGCAUCCUCUAUAUCAAAAACUAAAAACCCAUCUAAAAAUAGAGAAUCAAUUAAACAAAUUGUAACAUAUGUCCAUAAUAUGGGAUAUAUCCAGCUGUUAAAAUUAUGUUUUAAAAGAAUUUGAUGAAAAGAUUUAAGAUAUAGUAUUGAGUUAAAAAUAAAUUAUAUGCAUUAUGUA